UGGGACGACCAGCCUCACUGGAACUGAGACACGGUCCAGACACCUACGGGUGGCAGCAGUCGAGAAUUUUUCUCAAUGGGGGAAACCCUGAAGGAGCGACGCCGCGUGGGGGAUGAAUGGCUUCGGCCCGUAAACCCCUGUCAUUUGCGAUCAAACCUUACGUUUUAAUAAAGCGUAAGCUGAUAGUAGCGAAAGAGGAAGGGACGGCUAACUCUGUGCCAGCAGCCGCGGUAAUACAGAGGUCCCAAGCGUUGUUCGGAUUCACUGGGCGUAAAGGGUGCGUAGGCGGUCGGGUAAGUCUGACGUGAAAUCUUCAAGCUUAACUUGGAAACUGCGUCGGAUACUAUUCGGCUCGAGGAAUGGAGGGGAGACUGGAAUACUUGGUGUAGCAGCGAAAUGCGUAGAUAUCAAGUGGAACACCAGUGGCGAAGGCGAGUCUCUGGACAUUUCCUGACGCUGAGGCACGAAAGCCAGGGGAGCAAACGGGAUUAGAUACCCCGGUAGUCCUGGCCCUAAACGGUGCACGUUCGCUGUAAGAGGAAUCGACCCCUUUUGUGGCGAAGCUAACGCGUUAAACGUGCCGCCUGGGAAGUACGGCCGCAAGGUUAAAACUCAAAGAAAUUGACGGGGGCCUGCACAAGCGGUGGAGUAUGUGGCUUAAUUCGAUACCACGCGAAGAACCUUACCUGGCCUUGACAUGCACAUAGUAGAAGCCUGAAAGGGUGACGAGGUAGCAAUAUCAGUGUGCACAGGUGCUGCAUGGCUGUCGUCAGCUCGUGUCGUGAGAUGUUGGUUAAGUCCCGCAACGAGCGCAACCCCUGUGUCCUGUUGCCACCCCUUAAUUGGGAGCACUCUGGACAGACUGCCUCGCUUCAACGAGGAGGAAGGUGGGGAUGACGUCAAGUCAGUAUGGCCCUUACGGCCAGGGCUGCACACGUACUACAAUGCCCGGCGCAAAGGGACGCAAGACCGUCAGGUGGAGCAAAUCCCAGAAAACCGGGCCCAGUUCAGAUUGUCGUCUGCAACUCGACGGCAUGAAGCUGGAAUCGCUAGUAAUGGCGCAUCAGCUACGGCGCCGUGAAUACGUUCCCAGGCCUUGUACACACCGCCCGUCACAUCAUGAAAGCCGGUUGUACCCGAAGUCGCCCCUCAAAAGGUGCCGAAGGUAUGGCUGGUGAUUGGGAUGAAGUCGUAACAAGGUA
rnacentral:rRNA from 1 species